rnacentral:rRNA from 1 species
CUUGCUACUUUUGCCGGCGAGCGGCGGACGGGUGAGUCUGCCUGGGGAUCUGCCCGGUCGAGGGGGAUAACAGGUGGAAACGACUGCAACUACCGCAUACGCCCUACGGGGGAAAGCAGGGGACCUUCGGGCCUUGCGCGAUUGGAUGAACCCAGGUGGGAUUAGCUAGUUGGUGAGGUAAUAUCUCACAAAGGAGACAAUCCCUAACUGGUCUGAAAGGAUGAUCAGCCCCACUGGAACUGACACACGGUCCGACUCCUACGGGAGGCACAGUGGGGAAUAUUGCACAAUGGGGGAAACCCUGAUGCAGCCAUGCCGCGUGUGUGAAGAAGGCCUUCGGGUUGUAAAGCACUUUCAGCGAGGAGGAAAGGUUGGUAUCGAAUAACUGCCACCUGUGACGUUACUCGCAGAAAAAGCACCGGCUAACUCCGUGCCAGCAGCCGCGGUAAUACGGAGGGUGCAAGCGUUAAUCGGAAUUACUGGGCGUAAAGCGCACGCAGGCGGUUGGAUAAAUUUAGAUGUGAAAAGCCCCGGGCUCAACCUGGGAAAUUGCAUUUAAAACUGUCCAGCUAGAGUCUUGUAGAGGGGGGUAGAAUUCCAGGGUGUAGCGGUGAAAUGCGUAGAGAUCUGGAGGAAUACCGGGUGGCGAAGGCGGCCCCCCUGGACAAAGACUGACGCUCAGGUGCGAAAGCGUUGGGGGAGCAAAACAGGAUUAGAAUACCCCUGAUAAGUCCACGCCGUAACGAUCGUCGAUUUGGGAGGCUGUGUCCUUGGAGACGUGGCUUCCGGAGCUAACGCGUUAAAUCGACC